GCAGGGGUACAGAAUUGGAAAACUGACUAGGUUGAGGUCCUAGGCCUUAGUGGCUGUGAGAGUUCGAUCCUCUCCCCUUGCAC
rnacentral:tRNA from 1 species